rnacentral:rRNA from 1 species
CGCCUCUUGCUAAUAAGUAAGUAUAAGAGGUCCCGCCUGCCCAGUGAGCAAUUUCAACGGCCGCGGUAUCAUGACCGUGCAAAGGUAGCGUAAUCACUUGUCUUUUAAAUAAAGACCUGUAUGAAUGGCAAAACGAAAGUUCAACUGUCUCUUUAGUCCAAUCAAUUAAAUUUAUCUCUCCGUGCAGAAGCGGAGAUAAACAUAUAAGACGAGAAGACCCUAUGGAGCUUUAAACACACUAUUAACUAUGCCCCCCUACAACAACCCAACAGGCAAAAAUUAUAGACCGCAUAGAUGUAAUACAAGUUUUGGGUUGGGGCGACCACGGAAGAAAAAUCAUCCUCCGAGAUAAACAGUUUAGAACAACAUUUCAAAAAUUAAAACAUUUAUUAAAAAUGAUCCACUAAGUGAUCAACGAACCAAGUUACCCUAGGGAUAACAGCGCAAUCCUUUCUAAGAGUUCAUAUCGACGAACGGGUUUACGACCUCGAUGUUGGAUCAGGACACCCAAACGGUGCAGCCGCUGUUAAUGGUUCGUUUGUUCAACGAUUAAAGUCCU